CCAAUAGCGUAUAUUAAAGUUGUUGCAGUUAAAAAGCUCGUAGUUGAACCUUAGGCCCGUGCGGGUGGUCCGUCCUCAGGGCGAGCACUGCCUCGUUGCGGGUCUCACCUUCUGGCGAGCGUGGAUGCCAUUUAUUUGGUGUCUGCGGGAACCAGGACCUUUACCUUGAAAAAAUUAGAGUGCUCAAAGCGGGCUCUUGCGCUUGAAUACAUUAGCAUGGAAUAAUGAAAUAGGACGAUGGUUCUAUUUUGUUGGUUUCUGGGACCGUCGUAAUGAUUAAUAGGGAUAGUUGGGGGCAUUCGUAUUCAAUUGUCAGAGGUGAAAUUCUUGGAUUUAUUGAAGACGGACUACUGCGAAAGCAUUUGCCAAGGAUGUUUUCAUUAAUCAAGAACGAAAGUUGGGGGAUCGAAGACGAUCAGAUACCGUCGUAGUCUCAACCAUAAACUAUGCCGACUGGGAAUCGGACGAUGUUAUUUUUUGUGACUCGUUCGGCGCCCCGAG
rnacentral:rRNA from 1 species